rnacentral:rRNA from 1 species
CCUACGGGAGGCAGCAGUGAGGAAUAUUGGUCAAUGGACGAGAGUCUGAACCAGCCAAGUAGCGUGAAGGAUGACGGCCCUAUGGGUUGUAAACUUCGUUUAUAUGGGAAUAAAAUGUGCCACGUGUGGGAUUUUGUAUGUACCAUAUGAAUAAGGAUCGGCUAACUCCGUGCCAGCAGCCGCGGUAAUCCGGAGGAUCCGAGCGUUAUCCGGAUUUAUUGGGUUUAAAGGGAGCGUAGGUGGAUUGUUAAGUCAGUUGUGAAAGUUUGCGGCUCAACCGUACAAUUGCAGUUGAAACUGGCAGUCUUGCGUACAUUAGAGGUGGGCUGACUUCGUGUUGUAGCUG